rnacentral:misc_RNA from 1 species
UUCAUCACAACUGUGGCUAUCUCUUUCAGCAAGCAGAGUUAUACUUAAUCUGCAUUUUUUUUACUUAAUUUUUAUUCUUUGUUGCGGAAAAGUGUAUUUGGGGGAGCUUGCUGAAAAUUAACUGCAGCUUCUUAUGCCUUUGUUUUUGGAUUAAUUUUGCUUCUUGGGUUUCUGAAAAAAAUUGUUCUUGCUUUGUGGGUUUUCAGUUAAGUGGUUGUGCUUUAUGGGUUUUUCAUAUUAGUGGGUAAGCUUCAGUUGGGUAAUUGAAAUAGUGGGUUAUGCUUUCAUGGGGUUGAAAUAGUUGGGAUUGUAAGUUUAUUGUUGAGUCCGAAUUGGAAUUAUAAGAUGGCCAAGCUAUUAAGCAAAAUUUUGCCUGCUGCUCGAUCAACUCCUAAAGAGGAAGAAAAUGAUGAUUAUAAUGAAUAUUCGUGCUCAUUUGCUGUGGUGUACUCUGGCCCUCCAAUCACUCAUGAAAUUCCCCGAGCAGUGCCAGUUGAUGUUAGCCAAAUCCCAAUCGCAGCCAAACUUGCCUCAACCUCACUGUUGAAUGACGUGUCGUUGCCAGUUAUCCAACCUAUUAGACAGUCUAAAUCAUCAGGUAAGAAAACGUCCAAGGAGC